GAGGGGCAGCAUGGAAGAAGCUUGCUUCUUCUGAUGGCGACCGGCGCACGGGUGCGUAACGCGUAUCAAACCUGCCUCAUACUCGGGGAUAGCCUUGCGAAAGUAAGAUUAAUACCCGAUGUUGUUAUGUUUCCGCAUGGUGAUAUAACCAAAGAUUUAUCGGUAUGAGAUGGUGAUGCGUCCGAUUAGGUAGUAGGCGGGGUAACGGCCCACCUAGCCUUCGAUCGGUAGGGGUUCUGAGAGGAAGGUCCCCCACACUGGAACUGAGACACGGUCCAGACUCCUACGGGAGGCAGCAGUGAGGAAUAUUGGUCAAUGGACGGAAGUCUGAACCAGCCAAGUAGCGCGCAGGAUGACGGCCCUCUGGGUUGUAAACUGCUUUUAGUUGGGAAUAAAAAAGAGGACGUGUCCUCUAUUGUAUGUACCUUCAGAAAAAGGACCGGCUAAUUCCGUGCCAGCAGCCGCGGUAAUACGGAAGGUCCAGGCGUUAUCCGGAUUUAUUGGGUUUAAAGGGAGCGUAGGCGGAUUAUUAAGUCAGUGGUGAAAGACGGUGACUCAACCAUCGUUAGCCAUUGAAACUGGUAGUCUUGAGUGCAGACAGGGAUGCUGGAACUCGUGGUGUAGCGGUGAAAUGCUUAGAUAUCACGAUGAACUCCGAUCGCGAAGGCAGGUGUCCGGGCUGCAACUGACGCUGAGGCUCGAAAGUGUGGGUAUCAAACAGGAUUAGAUACCCUGGUAGUCCACACAGUAAACGAUGUAUACUCGCGGUUUGCGAUAGACAG
rnacentral:rRNA from 1 species